rnacentral:rRNA from 1 species
UACAGAGGUGGCAAGCGUUGUUCGGAAUUACUGGGCGUAAAGGGCGCGUAGGCGGUUCGUUAAGUCCUGUGUGAAAUCCCCCGGCUCAACUGGGGAACUGCACAGGAAACUAGCGGGCUUGAGUUCGGGAGAGGGAAGCGGAAUUCCGGGUGUAGCGGUGAAAUGCGUAGAUAUCGCUUGGAACGCCCGCGGCGAAGGCGGAUGACUGGGGUUGUGCCGACGCUGAGACACGAAAGCCAGGGGAGCGAACGGG